rnacentral:rRNA from 1 species
UACGUAGGGACCAAGCGUUGUUCGGAUUUACUGGGCGUAAAGGGCGCGUAGGCGGCGUGGUAAGUCACUUGUGAAAUCUCUGAGCUUAACUCAGAACGGCCAAGUGAUACUGCUGUGCUAGAGUGCAGAAGGGGCAAUCGGAAUUCUUGGUGUAGCGGUGAAAUGCGUAGAUAUCGGGAGGAACACCAGUGGCGAAGGCGGUUGCCUGGGGCUUUGCUGACGCUGAUGCGCGAAAGCUAGGGGAGCAAACAGG